ACUCCUACGGGAGGCAGCAGUAGGGAAUAUUGCACAAUGGAGGAAACUCUGAUGCAGCGACGCCGCGUGAGUGAUGAAGGCCCUCGGGUUGUAAAACUCUGUGAUAUGGGAAGAUGAUGACGGUACCAUAUCAGAAAGGACCGGCUAACUUCGUGCCAGCAGCCGCGGUAAUACGAGGGGUCCAAGCGUUGUUCGGAAUUACUGGGCGUAAAGCGGGUGUAGGCGGCUUGGUCAGUCGGAUGUGAAAGCCCUGGGCUCAACCCAGGAAGUGCAUCCGAUACUGCCAAGCUUGAGUACUGGAGAGGGAAGUGGAAUUCCUGGUGUAGUGGUGAAAUACGUAGAUAUCAGGAGGAAACAUCGGUGGCGAAGGCGGCUUCCUGGCCAUGUACUGAACGCUCAGACCCGAAAGCGU
rnacentral:rRNA from 1 species